CGACGGGAGCUUGCUCCCUUAGGUCAGCGGCGGACGGGUGAGUAACACGUGGUAACCUGCCUGUAAGACUGGGAUAACUCCGGGAAACCGGGGCUAAUACCGGAUGCUUGAUUGAACCGCAUGGUUCCAAUCAUAAAAGGUGGCUUUUAGCUACCACUUACAGAUGGACCCGCGGCGCAUUAGCUAGUUGGUGAGGUAACGGCUCACCAAGGCGACGAUGCGUAGCCGACCUGAGAGGGUGAUCGGCCACACUGGGACUGAGACACGGCCCAGACUCCUACGGGAGGCAGCAGUAGGGAAUCUUCCGCAAUGGACGAAAGUCUGACGGAGCAACGCCGCGUGAGUGAUGAAGGUUUUCGGAUCGUAAAACUCUGUUGUUAGGGAAGAACAAGUACCGUUCGAAUAGGGCGGCACCUUGACGGUACCUAACCAGAAAGCCACGGCUAACUACGUGCCAGCAGCCGCGGUAAUACGUAGGUGGCAAGCGUUGUCCGGAAUUAUUGGGCGUAAAGCGCGCGCAGGCGGUUUCUUAAGUCUGAUGUGAAAGCCCCCGGCUCAACCGGGGAGGGUCAUUGGAACUGGGGAACUUGAGUGCAGAAGAGGAGAGUGGAUUCCACGUGUAGCGGUGAAAUGCGUAGAGAUGUGGAGGAACACCAGUGGCGAAGGCGACUCUCUGGUCUGUAACUGAC
rnacentral:rRNA from 1 species